rnacentral:lncRNA from 1 species
AGUCUUUUAAUUUAAUUUCCAUCCAUUUCAGUUCCUAGUGUUUAAUUUAAUCGUUUUCAUUAUUUUGAGUCAUUUUAAGUGUGUUUCGAGUUAUUAGAGUUUUUAGCCUAAUUUUGUGUUCUUGAGUCUUAUUUAAUAUUUUUAAAUUAAUUUAGAAUAGAUUAGCAAUCCCUCCUAAUCCCCGGCCUAGAACGAUCCCUACUUACAUACUUUACUACAUUUGAUAAAAAGAGGGUUUAAUUUUAUGUGUUAACUUAUUUUUCACAUCAAAUUUUGGCGCCGUUGCCGGGGAUUAGUAACUUUGCUAAUCUUUUUAUUUUUGUUUUUGUUUAUGUUUAUAUUGGUGUUUGUGUGUUUUACUUUUGAUAUUUGAUUUAUUUUUCUUUCUUUGAUUUUAGGUACAAAUGGAGCUGAGGGAAAUUUAAAGGAAAGAUGCGUCCGGCUAAAGACGUUAAAUCAAGCGCUUCUUGGGA